CCUACGGGGGGCAGCAGUGAGGAAUAUUGGUCAAUGGACGAGAGUCUGAACCAGCCAAGUAGCGUGAAGGAUGACUGCCCUAUGGGUUGUAAACUUCUUUUAUAUGGGAAUAAAAUGUUCCACGUGUGGGAUUUUGUAUGUACCAUAUGAAUAAGGAUCGGCUAACUCCGUGCCAGCAGCCGCGGUAAUACGGAGGAUCCGAGCGUUAUCCGGAUUUAUUGGGUUUAAAGGGAGCGUAGGUGGAUUGUUAAGUCAGUUGUGAAAGUUUGCGGCUCAACCGUAAAAUUGCAGUUGAAACUGGCAGUCUUGAGUACAGUAGAGGUGGGCGGAAUUCGUGGUGUAGCGGUGAAAUGCUUAGAUAUCACGAAGAACCCCGAUUGCGAAGGCAGUUCACUGGACUGCAACUGACACUGAGGCUCGAAAGUGUGGGUAUCAAACAGGAUUAGAUACCCGGGUAGUC
rnacentral:rRNA from 1 species